CAAGCACUUCAUUAGUCAUUAGUGUUACAGGAUCAUCAACAAUUUUUCAUCCUAGAAUAUCAAGUACUGUAACUACUGCUGAAACUACUGUAACUACCACUGGAUUGAUCGUUGGUGUAACUGUGGUCUAUAUACCCAUCAUAGUACUGGCUGUAUUGGUAAUUGUUUUGAAUGUGAAAAGAACAGACCAAAAGAGAAAACCAGAGAAUGACAUUGCAUUGCAAAGCAUUCCAACAUAUGCUGCAAUUGAUUAUAAAGCAAAGUUAGUUACUGCAUUAAUUUGAAAAUAAAAUACAUUAACAAAUAGAUCAUCAAACAGGCCUGAGACUUCUGAAUACGAAGUACCACCUUUUUAAUAAUGCUCCCACUCAUCUUUUAUCAUGUACACUAUUAGUGAUGCAAAUAAACAUAUAUUUAAUGCUACCACUUAAAUUAAUGCAUAUUGUGUUUGUGUUAUAGCUAUAAAAAUAUUUAUGUUAGUUGAAA